rnacentral:rRNA from 1 species
UACAGAGGGUGCGAGCGUUAAUCGGAAUUACUGGGCGUAAAGCGCACGUAGGCGGCUUGGUAUGUCGGGUGUGAAAUCCCCGGGCUCAACCUGGGAACUGCAUCCGAAACUGCCUUGCUCGAGUAUGGGAGAGGGAAGUGGAAUUUCCGGUGUAGCGGUGAAAUGCGUAGAUAUCGGAAGGAACAUCAGUGGCGAAGGCGACUUCCUGGACCAAUACUGACGCUCAGGUGCGAAAGCGUGGGGAGCAACAGGG